rnacentral:rRNA from 1 species
GCCCCAGUAAACGGCGGCCGUAACUAUAACGGUCCUAAGGUAGCGAAAUUCCUUGUCGGGUAAGUUCCGACCUGCACGAAUGGCGUAAUGAUGGCCAGGCUGUCUCCACCCGAGACUCAGUGAAAUUGAACUCGCUGUGAAGAUGCAGUGUACCCGCGGCAAGACGGAAAGACCCCGUGAACCUUUACUAUAGCUUGACACUGAACAUUGAGCCUUGAUGUGUAGGAUAGGUGGGAGGCUUUGAAGUGUGGACGCCAGUCUGCAUGGAGCCAACCUUGAAAUACCACCCUUUAACGUUUGAUGUUCUAACCUAGGCCCAUAAACUGGGUCGGGGACCGUGUCUGGUGGGUAGUUUGACUGGGGCGGUCUCCUCCUAAAGAGUAACGGAGGAGCACGAAGGUUGGCUAAGCAUGGUCGGACAUCAUGCGGUUAGUGCAAAGGCAUAAGCCAGCUUGACUGCGAGAGUGACGGCUCGAGCAGGUACGAAAGUAGGUCUUAGUGAUCCGGUGGUUCUGAAUGGAAGGGCCAUCGCUCAACGGAUAAAAGGUACUCCGGGGAUAACAGGCUGAUACCGCCCAAGAGUUCAUAUCGACGGCGGUGUUUGGCACCUCGAUGUCGGCUCAUCACAUCCUGGGGCUGAAGUAGGUCCCAAGGGUAUGGCUGUUCGCCAUUUAAAGUGGUACGCGAGCUGGGUUUAGAACGUCGUGAGACAGUUCGGUCCCUAUCUGCCGUGGGCGUUGGAAGAUUGAGAGGGGUUGCUCCUAGUACGAGAGGACCGGAGUGAACGCACCACUGGUGUUCGGGUUGUCAUGCCAAUGGCAUUGCCCGGUAGCUAAGUGCGGAAGAGAUAACCGCUGAAAGCAUCUAAGCGGGAAACUUGCCUCGAGAUGAGUCUUCCCU